GAUCAUGGCUCAGGACGAACGCUGGCGGCGCGCCUAACACAUGCAAGUCGAACGAGCGAGAGAGAGCUUGCUUUCUCGAGCGAGUGGCGAACGGGUGAGUAACGCGUGAGGAACCUGCCUCAAAGAGGGGGACAACAGUUGGAAACGACCGCUAAUACCGCAUAAGCCCACGACCCGGCAUCGGGUAGAGGGAAAAGGAGAAAUCCGCUUUGAGAUGCCUCGCGUCCGAUUAGCUAGUUGGUGAGGG
rnacentral:rRNA from 1 species